CCCCUUUCAACAAUGGAUCUCUUGGUUCCGGCAUCGAUGAAGAACGCAGCGAAAUGCGAUAACUAGUGUGAAUUGCAGAAUUCCCUGAAUCAUCGAGUCUUUGAACGCACAUUGCGCCCCCUGGUAUUCCGGGGGGCAUGCCUGUCCGAGCGUCAUU
rnacentral:rRNA from 1 species